GACGAACGCUGGCGGCGUGCUUAACACAUGCCAGUCGAACGGACAGGCCCUGCUUUUGUGGGGUGCUCGAGUGGCGCACGGGUGAGUAACACGCGAGUAUCCUGCCCUUGACUUUGGGAUAACUUCAGGAAACUGGGGCUCAUACCGGAUAGGAGCUCCUGCUGCAUGGGGGGGGUUGGAAAGAUUCGGCGGUUGGGGAUGGACUCGCGGCUUAUCCGCUUGUUGGUGGGGUAGUGGCUUACAAAGGUUGCGACGGAUAGCCGGCCUGAGAGGGUGACCGGCCACAUUGGGACUGCGAGACGGCCCAGACGCCUACGGGAGGCAGCAGGGGGGAAUAUUGCACAAUGGGCGGGAGCGUGAGACAGCAACGCCGCGUGCGGGAUGACGGCCUACGAGUGGUAAACCGAUUUCGCCGGUAACGAAGCGGGAGUGACGGUAAUUGGUAAAGAAGCACCGGCUAACUACGUG
rnacentral:rRNA from 1 species